rnacentral:rRNA from 1 species
GAGCUCAAAUUUAAAAUCUGGCGGUGUAUUCCGUCCGAGUUGUAGUCUAGAGAAGCAUCAUCCGCGCCGGACCAUGUACAAGUCUCUUGGAACAGAGCGUCAUAGAGGGUGAGAAUCCCGUCCUUGACAUGGACUCCCGGUGCUUUGUGUUGAGCUCUCGACGAGUCGAGUUGUUUGGGAAUGCAGCUCAAAAUGGGUGGUAAAUUCCAUCUAAAGCUAAAUAUUGGCGAGAGACCGAUAGCGAACAAGUACCGUGAGGGAAAGAUGAAAAGCACUUUGGAGAGAGAGUUAAACAGUACGUGAAAUUGUUGAAAUGGAAACGCUUGAAGUCAGUCGCGUCUUCUGGGAUUCAGCCUUGCUUUUGCUUGGUGUAUUUCCUAGUCUACGGGCCAGCAUGGAUUUUGACCGUUGGAAAAGGGCUGGAGGAAUGUGGCACCUUCGGGUGUGUUAUAGCCUCCUGUCGCAUGCAUCGGUUGGGAUCGAGGACCUCAGUGCACGCUUCGGUUGUGCUUUGAUGCUGGCGUAAUGGCUUUAAACGACCCGUC